UGUACCUACGGGGCGCAGCAGUGGGGAAUAUUGGGCAAUGGGCGCAAGCCUGACCCAGCAACGCCGCGUGAAGGAAGAAGGCUUUCGGGUUGUAAACUUCUUUUCUUGGGGACGAAGAAAGUGACGGUACCCAAGGAAUAAGCCACGGCUAACUACGUGCCAGCAGCCGCGGUAAUACGUAGGAGGCAAGCGUUAUCCGGAUUUAUUGGGUGUAAAGGGCGUGUAGGCGGGGAUGCAAGGCAGAUGUGAAAACCACG
rnacentral:rRNA from 1 species